GACGAACGCUGGCGGCGUGCCUAAUACAUGCAAGUAGAACGCACAGUUUAUACCGUAGCUUGCUACACCAUAAACUGUGAGUUGCGAACGGGUGAGUAACGCGUAGGUAACCUGCCUGGUAGCGGGGGAUAACUAUUGGAAACGAUAGCUAAUACCGCAUAAUAUUGAUUAUUGCAUGAUAAUUGAUUGAAAGAUGCUAUUGCAUCACUACCAGAUGGACCUGCGUUGUAUUAGCUAGUAGGUGAGGUAACGGCUCACCUAGGCGACGAUACAUAGCCGAACGGAGAGGGUGAGCAGCCACACUGGGACGGAGACACGGCCCAGACGCCUAGGGGAGGCAGCAGUAGGGAAUCGUCGGCAAGGGACGAAAGUCUGACCGAGCAACGCCGAGUGAGUGAAGAAGGUUGCCGGAUCGUAAAGCUCUGUUGUAAGAGAAGAACGGGCGUGAGAGUGGAAAGUUCACACUGUGACGGUAUCUUACCAGAAAGGGACGGCUAACUACGUG
rnacentral:rRNA from 1 species